rnacentral:rRNA from 1 species
CACCGGCGGCCCGAGUGGUAAUCACUUUUAUUGGGUCUAAAGGGUCCGUAGCCGGUUUGAUCAGUUCUUCGGGAAAUCUGACAGCUUAACUGUUAGGCUUCCGGGGAAUACUGUCAGACUUGGGACCGGGAGAGGUAAGAGGUACUACAGGGGUAGGAGUGAAAUCUUGUAAUCCCUGUGGGACCACCAGUGGCGAAGGCGUCUUACCAGAACGGGUCCGACGGUGAGGGACGAAAGCUGGGGGCACGAACCGGAUUAGAUACCCGGGUAGUCCCAGCCGUAAACGAUGUUCGCUAGGUGUCAGGGACGGUGCGACCGUUUCUGGUGCCGCAGGGAAGCCGUGAAGCGAACCACCUGGGAAGUACGGCCGCAAGGCUGAAACUUAAAGGAAUUGGCGGGGGAGCACUACAACGGGUGGAGCCUGCGGUUU